rnacentral:ncRNA from 1 species
AUUAGCAAAAGGCACACUCGUCGUAAGGCGGGGUCGCAAAGGCACGGGACCUUCGGGUUAGCCGGCCCGUCGAA